rnacentral:rRNA from 1 species
CAUCCUUGAUCGGGAGGUCCGGGUAAUCUUUUGAAACUUCAUCGUGCUGGGGAUAGUCCCUUGCAAUUUUUGGACUUAAACGAGGAAUUCCUAGUAAGCGUGAGUCAUCAACUCGCGUUGAUUACGUCCCUGCCCUUUGUACACACCGCCCGUCGCUACUACCGAUUGAAUGGCUUAGUGAAUCCUUCGGAUUGGCUAUUUUUUUCUGGCAACAGAAUUAAACUGCUAAAAAGUUGGGCAAACUUGGUCAUUUAGAGGAAGUAAAAGUCGUAACAAGGUUUCCGUAGGUGAACCUGCGGAAGGAUCAUUAAAAAAUAAUCACUGUAUUGUGAUUUUAAUAAUCAUCCUACCCUUUGUGAAUUUGUUUUGUUUGAAAAUUUAUGUUGUCUAUCCCUGGUGGUUUUGGAAAAGUUGAAAAACUUUUUCGAAUCCCAGGGACUAGGCUUUCAUAGACCUUUUUUUAAAUUAAACUUUUUGUAUUCAUUUGUCUAAAUUUAUUUUUAAUAAUUUAAAAACAACUUUUGACAAUGGAUCUCUUGGUUCUCGCAACGAUGAAGAACGCAGCAAAAUGCGAUAAGUAAUGUGAAUUGCAGAAUACGUGAAUCAUCAAAUCUUCGAACGCAUAUUGCAC